GGACCUGACUGCUAUCGGAUUGAUACUAAGCCAUGCGAGUCAUUGUAGCAAUACAAGGCAGACGGCUCAGUAACGCGUAGUCAACCUACCCUAUGGACGGGAAUAACCUCGGGAAACUGAGUAUAAUGCCCGAUAGAACAUUAUACCUGGAAUGGUUUAUGUUCCAAAUGAUUUAUCGCCGUAGGAUGGGACUGCGGCCUAUCAGUUUGUUGGUGAGGUAAUGGCCCACCAAGACUAUUACAGGUACGGGCUCUGAGAGGAGUGGCCCGGAGAUGGGUACUGAGACACGGACCCAGGCCCUAUGGGGCGCAGCAGGCGAGAAAACUUUGCAAUGUGCGAAAGCACGACAAGGUUAAUCCGAGUGGUUUCUGCUAAAGGAACCUUUUGUCAGUCCCAGAAACACUGAUGAAUAAGGGGUGGGCAAGUUCUGGUGU
rnacentral:rRNA from 1 species